rnacentral:rRNA from 1 species
CAGCGCCGCGGUAAUACGGAGGGUGCAAGCGUUAAUCGGAAUUACUGGGCGUAAAGCGUGCGCAGGCGGUUUGUUAAGACAGAUGUGAAAUCCCCGGGCUUAACCUGGGAACUGCAUUUGUGACUGGCAAGCUAGAGUCUGGCAGAGGGGGGUGGAAUUCCGCGUGUAGCAGUGAAAUGCGUAGAUAUGCGGAGGAACACCGAUGGCGAAGGCAGCCCCCUGGGCCAACACUGACGCUCAUGCACGAAAGCGUGGGGAGCAAACAGGAUUAGAUACCCGAGUAGUCCCUGUCUCUUAUACA